GAAACGGAUUUAGAUAUACUCUCGAUUUAUAAACUGAAAAAUGUGAUCUAUUAAAAGCUUCUAGAAGUCGUCAGUUAUAUAUGGUAGAGUUAAUUCUCAACUACGAUUAAUUAACACUCGAAACUCCUGCCACGUCCUUAUUAGUUGUACGAAAGCAAUAUACUUCUUAGGAAAUAAGGAAGAGCCGUCAAGUAUAUGUACCGGAAAAAAUUAUCACCAACAACCAAGUGAUACUCACAACCUCUAGUGAGUUCCCACCAGUCGCAAAGCAAGACUAUACUUGUCAUUGAAAUAGAAAUUACCUAUGAUUAAUAACUGAUUUAUAAGCUGAAAAAGAUGAUUAAGAUACUUCAGAAGCAGGAGUAUAACUGUAGCAAAAUUGUCAUCGAUAAUCUUAGUGAAACUCAUAACCUUUGGUGGAUUUCCGCUGAUUGCAAUACUAAUAAUAAUACUUAAACGAAAACGGAGAACUGCACACGAUUUGUCGUCAAAAUCUACGCUAAAAAAUAUAACCAAUUUUUGGAAUUUUGCCUUUUGGAGCAGCCGAAUAUAUGUGACGGAACCAAUUGUCAACGAUGACCAAGUGACAUUCACAACUUCUGCAGUUUCCAACGAUUCAAUGCAAAGCGAGACUUGCAGAAAAGAUAAAACUAUUUGUUAUCGAAUUAUAAGCUGAGAAAUAAGACAAAUUUGAUAUGUUUUGAAGAUCGGCGCAGUAUACCUGCCAGUAUUGAUUGUAAUCUAUUACUUAUUGACGCUCAAAAAUACUGUUAAAAUAUUACUUCCCAUGAAAGAAGGUUCCAACAGCUGUCAAGUGAUUGUCAUCAACAACCUCAACUUUGGGAGUGGGACUCCCAACUUUUAUAAGAUUGCCAACGUUCGCUCAUCAAAGUAAACUGCUUAAGAAAAAGCUAAC